ACAAAACAAAAAAAGGACGCAUCAAGAUCUUACUGCCCAUUAGGUGGUAAACUGGACUUUUCACCUGGAGCCACCUCAGCCAGUUCAAAAUUGCACAUGUUCACCGUGACACAGAGCUACAAACUCACCAGUCUGAAGCAUCAGGGACUGCCUGUCUUCACCAUCCUUCAGCACUGGAAUUAUGGAUGUUGGCCUCAGCUCACAUGAGGAUCCACUCAGCAAACCAUGUUGGUGUGGGACUGCCGUGAACUCUCGAGCUGCCCAGAGAGGAUCUCCAGAAUGAGAUUUAAGAUGAAGCAUAGGAAAAGUGAAUUUUUAAAACAAGGAAAAAUGCUUUGGAAUAAAGUCACUGAUCUGUUAAACUGUU